rnacentral:lncRNA from 1 species
UUUUUUCCUCUCUUUGGGUCUAACCAAAUCAGAUUUGGAUUGAACCAAAUUGGAAUACCUAGAGUCCCAACUCAUUGGGACUCUCUCCCUUGCACAUGCCCUAGAAUCCAUGCCAAAUAUUACAUGCUAAAGGGAGUUUGGCAUGAAAUAUUUUUUGCGUGAAAGAGAGGGGCAUAGAGAGGGUGGGUGGCAUCUCUUGAUGACUCAUCAUCUUAUCUCAUCACUAAUUUGAAUUUGAUUCAAAUCUAGAUAUAGAUAAGAAGGAAAUAAAUCAAGGCAUUGUAGGAA